rnacentral:rRNA from 1 species
CCAACUGGGAUCGCCCUAGUAACGGCGAGUGAAGCGGCGACAGCUCAAAUUUGAAAUCUGGCCCUGGGCCCGAGUUGUAAUUUGCAGAGGAUGCUUCGGGCGCGGCGCCUUCCGAGUCUAUUGGAACAUAGCGCCAGAGAGGGUGAGAGCCCCGUACUGUUGGCCGCCAAGCCUGUGUGAAGCUCCUUCGACGAGUCGAGUAGUUUGGGAAUGCUGCUCAAAAUGGGAGGUAGACCCCUUCUAAAGCUAAAUACCGGCCAGAGACCGAUAGCGCACAAGUAGAGUGAUCGAAAGAUGAAAAGCACUUUGAAAAGAGGGUUAAACAGCACGUGAAAUUGUUGAAAGGGAAGCGCUCGUGACCAGACUUGCGCCGGGGCGAUCAUCUGGCGUUCUCGCCGGUGCACUCGCCCCGGCUCAGGCCAGCGUCGGUUCGGGCGGGGGGAUAAAGGCGUUGGGAACGUGGCUCCCCCGGGAGUGUUAUAGCCCAGCGUGUAAUGCCCCCGCCUGGACCGAGGUUCGCGCUCCGCAAGGACGCUGGCGUAAUGGUCCCCGGCGACCCGUCUUGAAACACGGACCAAGGAGUCGAGGUUCUGCGCGAGUGUUUGGGUGUCAAACCCGCACGCGUAAUGAAAGUGAACGCAGGUGGGAGCUUCGGCGCACCACCGACCGAUCCUGAUGUUCUCGGAUGGAUUUGAGUAGGAGCGUGGGGCCUCGGACCCGAAAGAUGGUGAACUAUGCUUGGAUAGGGUGAAGUCAGAGGAAACUCUGAUGGAGGCUCGCAGCGGUUCUGACGUGCAAAUCGAUCGUCAAAUCUGAGCAUGGGGGGCGAAAGACUAAUCGAACCAU